AUCAUACAGGGGACAAAGAUUAAAAGUGAUUGUGCUUGCACAAAUUGCUUUUGAUCUUCUGGACCCGCCCAAACAUGAGGAUGCAGCGGUUUCUGUAAGAAACCAGCGAAUCCGAAUGUUUGCAGGAUUUCGAGAGCGCGAAGUGCGUAGAAAUCCGUAGUAUGAU
rnacentral:sRNA from 1 species